ACGAACGCUGGCGGCGCGCCUAACACAUGCAAGUCGAACGAGCGAGAGAGAGCUUGCUUUCUCGAGCGAGUGGCGAACGGGUGAGUAACGCGUGAGGAACCUGCCUCAAAGAGGGGGACAACAGUUGGAAACGACUGCUAAUACCGCAUAAGCCCACGACCCGGCAUCGGGUCGAGGGAAAAGGAGCAAUCCGCUUUGAGAUGGCCUCGCGUCCGAUUAGCUAGUUGGUGAGGUAAUGGACCACCAAGGCGACGAUCGGUAGCCGGACUGAGAGGUUGACCGGCCACAUUGGGACCGGGACACGGCCCAGACUCCUACGGGAGGCAGCAGUGGGGAAUAUUGCACGAUGGGGGAAACCCUGAUGCAGCGACGCCGCGUGGAGGAAGAAGGUCUUCGGAUUGUAAACUCCUGUUGUUGAGGAAGAUAAUGACGGUACUCAACAAGGAAGUGACGGCUAACUACGUGCCAGCCGCCGCCGUAAGAC
rnacentral:rRNA from 1 species